UUUUUAAUAUUCUUUAUAGGGUCUAUUGCAGAAACUAACAGAGCUCCUUUUGAUUUAGCCGAGGCUAUUUACUAAAUAUGAUUUGGUCUCGUAAAAGAUCGCUAUAUGCUGGAAACUCCAUGGGUGGUUUUUUAGCCAAUGGACAAUCAGCAGGAAACCAAAAGAUAAUUAAAUAUCCUAAUGGGGUCCUCAGAGACUACACGCGAUCAUUAAGUACUGUGUUUAAUAAGAGAUAGUCCAACCCUGUAUGUAAAUACAAU
rnacentral:ncRNA from 1 species